rnacentral:lncRNA from 10 species
UAAGCACCAUAGAGGCAAGCAGCUUGCUUAAUUAGUCUUUAAUGCACGUCUACUCUUGGACACAUUGUGAUCACUUACAUAUUGUGGAAAGAGAGGAUAAUAAAAGACAGAAGACAAAGAUGAAAACGGAGAAGAAGGAAAGAAAACAUUAAUGCCCUCCAUGCUCCAGCUCCUGGGUAGGAGCAUUGCCACAGACAGGAGGGCUAUGGACAAGUUCUCCUCUUUCUUCUCUUCAAUACCUGCUUCAAAUAUGGCAGAGGUUCUGUUAUGAGCCAUGGCAGAUUCAAGACUGUCUGUCUUCUCCAAAAUAUUAUCUUCUUUCCAGCGACAGUAUUCAUCCAAUUUAAAUUUAUUUUAUUCUGUGAUCCUUUGAUAUACAUAUUAUAUUUAAUGAAUGUAGUGGAUUGAUUUCAAAAGCAGCCACAAUUUUUGAAUCCUCUGAGGGUAUCCAUGCCCGCUGCAAUGUGACUUUGCAGGUCUUGCCAUCAAGAAGUUGCUUCUCCUUCUCAUAUUUCCAAUCUGGGCUGGCCUCGUGGCUAGUUUUGACCAAGACAAUGCAGCUGAGGGGACACUGUGUUGCUCCUGCACCUGGCCUCAAGACACCUUUCACGGUUCUGCUUACAGUGUUGAUAAAUCACCGUCAGCAUGAAACCAAGCCUGGGACAUCCUGUUGGUGGAUGACACACACCAUGGGGGAGACUGGUUCCUCCAGCUGAGACCAGGGGGCACUGCCCAGCAAGCCCACCUUCCAUGUGUUGAGCUGCCUGGAUCACAUUGGUAGCUGCAGAUUCAUGAGUGAGCCCAGCUGAGAGCAGAAAAAUGGCUCGGCCUCCCUCAGACCUAUGUUUGGAUUAAGUAAAUGCUUGUUUUCUUAAGUCAGUAAGGAGUUUGUGAUUGCAUUCUGUCCCAGAUGACUGUGGCAAUGGAUAACAAACACAAUGGUGGUCACAAUUAAAAAUCCCUGUUUGUCUGAAGGAAUUUCCCAUUUAGACAACCUUUACCUAUGUGAUUUAUUUAAUUUUUGCAAUACUUUUAUUGAGUAUAUAUUUAUUCAACCUUUUUUCCUAAAUAAAUUGUUUCAGAGAAGUCACACAUUAGUAAAUUCUCAAACCUAACAUCCGGAUUCUGGGAGGACAGAUGCUUUCCUGCAAGGGUGGUCUUCACUAGAAGAGUAUCAGCUCCUAGAUGGGCUGUCUGGUUCCUCUCCUAAGUUUUCCACCAUAAAAAUCCCACAGAAUUUAAGCUUCAAGAAGAAUCACUCAGGAAUUUCCCCUGCAUAGAUAAGAAAACAAAGCCUUUACUUUCAGCAUUCAUUGGCCACUUU